rnacentral:rRNA from 1 species
GGGUGAGUAAUGUCUGGGAAACUGCCUGAUGGAGGGGGAUAACUACUGGAAACGGUAGCUAAUACCGCAUAACGUCGCAAGACCAAAGAGGGGGACCUUCGGGCCUCUUGCCAUCAGAUGUGCCCAGAUGGGAUUAGCUAGUAGGUGGGGUAAUGGCUCACCUAGGCGACGAUCCCUAGCUGGUCUGAGAGGAUGACCAGCCACACUGGAACUGAGACACGGUCCAGACUCCUACGGGAGGCAGCAGUGGGGAAUAUUGCACAAUGGGCGCAAGCCUGAUGCAGCCAUGCCGCGUGUGUGAAGAAGGCCUUCGGGUUGUAAAGCACUUUCAGCGAGGAGGAAGGUGGUGAGCUUAAUACGCUCAUCAAUUGACGUUACUCGCAGAAGAAGCACCGGCUAACUCCGUGCCAGCAGCCGCGGUAAUACGGAGGGUGCAAGCGUUAAUCGGAAUUACUGGGCGUAAAGCGCACGCAGGCGGUUUGUUAAGUCAGAUGUGAAAUCCCCGGGCUCAACCUGGGAACUGCAUUUGAAACUGGCAAGCUAGAGUCUCGUAGAGGGGGGUAGAAUUCCAGGUGUAGCGGUGAAAUGCGUAGAGAUCUGGAGGAAUACCGGUGGCGAAGGCGGCCCCCUGGACGAAGACUGACGCUCACGUGCGAAAGCGU